UACAGAGGUCUCAAGCGUUGUUCGGAUCCAUUGGGCGUAAAGGGCGCGUAGGCGGCGCAACAAGUCACUUGUGAAAUCUCCGGGCUUAACCCGGAGCGGCCAAGUGAUACUGUCGUGCUAGAGUGCGGAAGGGGCUACUGGAAUUCUCGGUGUAGCGGUGAAAUGCGUAGAUAUCGAGAGGAACACCUGCGGCGAAGGCGGGUAGCUGGGCCGACACUGACGCUGAUGCGCGAAAGCCAGGGGAGCGAACGGG
rnacentral:rRNA from 1 species